rnacentral:rRNA from 1 species
UGGCUCAGGACGAACGCUGGCGGCGUGCCUAAUGCAUGCAAGUCGAACGCACUCGCUUCGGCGAGUGAGUGGCGCACGGCUGAGUAACACGUGGGAACCCGCCCCCGGUGGGGGAUAACGCGACGAAAGUUGCGCUAAUCCCGCAUACCUCCGCAACGAGAAAGCGCCUCCGCGCGCCGGGGGAGGGGCCUGCGGCCCAUCAGGUCGUUGGUGGGGUAAUGGCCUACCAAGCCGAUGACGGGUAGCUGGUCUGGGAGGAUGACCAGCCAGACUGGGACUGAGACACGGCCCAGACUCCUACGGGAGGCAGCAGCAAGGAAUUUUCGGCAAUGGGCGCAAGCCUGACCGAGCAACGCCGCGUGCGGGAUGACGGCCUUCGGGUUGUAAACCGCUUUUCGGGGGACGACCCUGACGGUACCCCCGGAAUCAGCCCCGGCUAACUCUGUGCCAGCCGCCGCCGUAAAACCUGAACUGCCAAGGCACACA